rnacentral:lncRNA from 1 species
UGGGUUGGUUAUCUUCUUAAUCAAGGAGUGUAGUGAUACUGGUAUGGCAUACAGGUGAGAUGUAAUGAUACAUCAUCACGGAACAAGUGACUCAUCUGCUGAGCGUUCUGCUGUCAAAAGUUGCUCGCGAAACACAUGGGUAUAAAUGUCCUUCAGAUCUGAGAUCACUAUAGUGACUUGCAAGCAACUCACUAUGCUUUGGUGCUGAACUACCUGAAUUUUUAAUGCAGUGACGGAAGGCUACUGGGUACAAUCAAGUACUUACGAAGUCUGUGUGUGUAUCAAGAUGAAAUUGAUCCCUCCAAAUUAUUGGAGUUGAUGUAUCGCUGUAUUUCAAUUUAGUAAAGCCUUGGCCAGGAUAAUCCAUGAGAUGGAUUUGAAAAAUUAAAAUACAAUAUGGAUAAAGCAAUCUUGGUUGACAGUUAACCUGAGACCAUCUUAGAGCAUCCAGAGUCAGAAUGAUGAAUUAUGAGGUAAUCAUGAGUAUGGGUUCUGAAAUAUUUCUUUGUGAUAAUUCGACCUAUCUGGAUGUCGGAAACUAUUGCUAGAUGGUAUCUCGAUUAGUGCAAAAAUUGGUUCAUGUACUACCGGCUUAGUGUUUGAACCUAUGGAGUCACACACAAGUCAAACAAAGUAGGAAAGAAUUGACCUAUGUUUAUAUAUCCAAUCUGGAAGUACUUAACUUGAUUGAACAUAUCAGCUAACUUGAUUGAGAAUUGAGUUAUGGGUCAAAUGGGAUUGAAGAGUUGACUCUGUCUAGCUAGCACUACACAUGAGAUUCAGGUUCAAUCCUGGGGAUGAACAAUUUCUAUCUAUGAUCCAUGAAACAUAUGAAAGAUUGAAUUUAAGUACUAAUU